UGGGGAAUUUUGGACAAUGGGCGAAAGCCUGAUCCAGCCAUGCCGCGUGCAGGAUGAAGGCCUUCGGGUUGUAAACUGCUUUUGUACGGAACGAAAAGACUCUGGUUAAUACCUGGGGUCCAUGACGGUACCGUAAGAAUAAGCACCGGCUAACUACGUGCCAGCAGCCGCGGUAAUACGUAGGGUGCAAGCGUUAAUCGGAAUUACUGGGCGUAAAGCGUGCGCAGGCGGUUAUAUAAGACAGAUGUGAAAUCCCCGGGCUCAACCUGGGAACUGCAUUUGUGACUGUAUAGCUAGAGUACGGCAGAGGGGGGAUGGAAUUCCGCGUGUAGCAGUGAAAUGCGUAGAUAUGCGGAGGAACACCGAUGGCGAAGGCAAUCCCCUGGGCCUGUACUGACGCUCAUGCACGAAAGCGUGGGGAGCAAACAGGAUUAGAUACCCUGGUAGUCCACGCCCUAAACGAUGUCAACUGGUUGUUGGGGUCUUCACUGACUCAGUAACGAAGCUAACGCGUGAAGUUGACCGCCUGGGGAGUACGGCCGCAAGGUUGAAACUUAAAUGAAUUGACGGGGUCAUAGCUGUUUCC
rnacentral:rRNA from 1 species